GACGAACGCUGGCGGCGUGCCUAAUACAUGCAAGUCGAACGCUUUUUCUUUCACCGGAGCUUGCUCCAUCGAAAGAAAAAGAGUGGCGAACGGGUGAGUAACACGUGGGUAACCUGCCCAUCAGAAGGGGAUAACACUUGGAAACAGGUGCUAAUACCGUAUAACACUAUUUUCCGCAUGGAAGAAAGUUGAAAGGCGCUUUUGCGUCACUGAUGGAUGGACCCGCGGUGCAUUAGCUAGUUGGUGAGGUAACGGCUCACCAAGGCAACGAUGAAUAGCCGAACUGAGAGGGUGAUCGGCCACACGGGGACUGAGACACGGCCCAGACUCCUACGGGAGGCAGCAGUAGGGAAUCUUCGGCAAUGGACGAAAGUCUGACCGAGCAACGCCGCGUGAGUGAAGAAGGUUUUCGGAUCGUAAAACUCUGUUGUUAGAGAAGAACAAGGAUGAGAGUAAAACGUUCAUCCCUUGACGGUAUCUAACCAGAAAGCCACGGCUAACUACGUGCCAGCAGCCGCAGUAA
rnacentral:rRNA from 1 species